ensembl:lncRNA
GUUGGAUGGCAUCACUCACUCAAUGGACACGAAUUUGAGCAAGCUCUGGGAGAUGGUGAAGGACAGGGAAGGCUGGUGUGCUGCAGACCAUGGGGUUGCAAAGAGUCAGACUCAACUGAGCGACUGAACAGCAACAAGGAGAACAGGGGAGAAGAAGGUGGAGGACAGGUGAUGCGGGAAGAUGAGGAGGACAUUAAGAGGGGAGGAGAGAAAAGGAAGAAGACCAGCUCGGAAGGACCAGGACCAGGAACUCACAAGCCAGUGAGGUCCACCGGGUUUAUGGUUUAGGCCAGAAGUCACCAUCUCAGAGACUCAGUAUGAAAACAGGGACCACCAAGAGGAGGAGUCUGCAGCCAGAGUGUGUGACUGCUAGGAAAUAAGACACAAUAGAAACGAAAAUCUGAGGCCUGAUGUCCUCUGUGCUCAGCUCCAAAGUGUAAAGUCACACAGAGGCCUGUCUUCAAGGAGCUCGGAGAUGAACGGAAAUGGGAAUUGCCUGGUGGUCCGGUGGUUAGGACUCUGC